UACGAAGGGGGCUAGCGUUGCUCGGAAUCACUGGGCGUAAAGCGCACGUAGGCGGAUUGCUAAGUCAGGGGUGAAAUCCUGGAGCUCAACUCCAGAACUGCCUUUGAUACUGGUGAUCUUGAGUUCGGGAGAGGUGAGUGGAACUGGCGAGUGUAGAGGUGAAAUUCGUAGAUAUUCGCAAGAACACCAGUGGCGAAGGCGGGUCUCUGGACAGUUCCUGACACUGAGGCACGAAGGCCAGGGGAGCAAACGGGG
rnacentral:rRNA from 1 species